rnacentral:rRNA from 1 species
AGUUUGAUCUGGCUCANAUUGAACGCUGGNGGAAUGCUUUACACAUGCCAGUCGAACGGCAGCACGGAAAGCUUGCUGUCUGGUGGUGAGUGGCGAACGGGUGAUAUAUAUAUACGAACCUGUCCGAGAAUGGUGGAUAACGAGUCGAAGGAUUCGCUAAUACCACAAACGCCCUACGAGGGAAAGCGAGUGAUCGUAACAUCUCGCGUUAGUGGAGCGGCAGAUAUCUGAUUAGUUUGUUGGGGAGGUAAAGGCUCCCCAGGGAGAAUAUGAAUAUGUGGUUUGAGAAAACGACCACCCACUCUGGCACUGACACACGCCCCACACUCCUACGGGACGCUCAGUGGGGAAUUUUGGACAAUGGGCGCAACCCUGAUCCAGCCAUUCCGCGUGAGAGAAGAAGGUUUCGUGUUGUAAAGCUCUUUUCCAAAGGAAGAAAACUUAUGAUANAAUAAAUGGUGAGGUUGACGGCCCCUUGAUUAGACGCACCUUAUAUCUACGUGCCCGCCGCCGCGGAUAUACGUAGGGUGC